rnacentral:rRNA from 1 species
GACAGAGGCCCCGAGCGUUAGGCGGAAUCACUGGGCUUAAAGCGUGUGUAGGCGGAUCGUUAAGUGUCUUGUGAAAUCCCACGGCUCACCCGUGGAACUGCUGGGCAUACUGGCGAUCUUGGGCCGUUCAGGGGCGACUGGAACAAGCGGUGGAGCGGUGAAAUGCGUAGAGAUCGGGAGGAACACCAGUGGCGAAGGCGGCCAUCUGGAUCAACACUGACGCUGAGGCACGAAAGCGUGGGGAGCAAACAGG